AGUGAACGCUGGCGGUAGGCCUAACACAUGCAAGUCGAACGGCAGCACAGUAAGAGCUUGCUCUUACGGGUGGCGAGUGGCGGACGGGUGAGGCAUACAUCGGAAUCUACUUUUUCGUGGGGGAUAACGUAGAGAAACUUACGCUAAUACCGCAUACGACCUACGGGUGAAAGCAGGGGAUCUUCGGACCUUGCGCGAUUCAAUGAGCCGAUGUCGGAUUAGCUAGUUGGCUGGGUAAAGGCACACCAAGGCGACGAUCCGUAGCUGGUCUGAGAGGAUGAUCAGCCACACUGGAACUGAGACACGGUCCAGACUCCUACGGGAGGCAGCAGUAGGGAAUAUUGGACAAUGGGCGAAAGCCUGAUCCAGCCAUACCGCGUGAGUGAAGAAGGCCUUCGGGUUGUAAAGCUCUUUUGUUAGGAAAGAAAAGCAGCAGGAUAAUACCCCGCUGUUCUGACGGUACCCAAAGAAAAAGCAACGGCUAACUUCGUG
rnacentral:rRNA from 1 species